CUUUUAAUCAGAGAGAAGACGAUUUUACAACUACGAAAUACACUGAAAGACAAAGAAGAAUUCAUUAACCGUUCGACUACAAAGCUAAAACAGUACGAGGAAAAUAACUGGCUGGCAAGAAACGAUAAGAUUUAUGCUUCGGACGCAAGAGACAGUCAUCGGGUCAUCGCUGCUUUACGACAGCAAGUUAAAGAUUUGCAACAACAACACAGCGAACGAGAGGUUA